UUAGCUAGCAUAAAGCCAUGAUUAAUUGGUAACUCGAAAAACAAACUCAGUAAAGAGCAAAUUAUAUUUCUACCAGCAGGAAUAAAAGUGGAAAAUUUGGAUGAACAAACUAGAAUGUACGUAGGCCUACCUGUAACGUGACUAGCAUAUUUUGCGUGAUAUGUGUGGAGACUGCAAGAGGAAAAGCUCGUGGACAUUAACCUAAACUUUCAACAACAAAUACUGUAAUACGCCAUGUGUACUAUUGGCUGCAGCCUGAAGUAGAGUUGAACAGCGAAUGGGACGAGAGAUGACUUCUGUGAUACAAAAUGGGCUGUUUGGUGAGUGUACAGCGGAGGCAAAGAGAAGAAACUCAAUCAGGCAGCAGUGGGAGCUGGACUCGUUCGUGGGAUAUACAACAGAAAGGCAAAGCGGAGGUUCAGAUACAGUACAGUAUCCAAUGGUGCCAUGGCCACAAGGAGCCAUAGCAGUGUGGGAUUCAAAGCAUCACCAGUGGGUGUGCCUUCUUUCACCCUCCAGCUCCUUUUAAUUCUGUGUGGUCGCUUACUGGAUGCCCAGGGUCAAGAUAUUCAGCAUCAUGCAGCUUUUUGAUUCAGCACACAUGCUUCAGCCACUUUAUUUUGUCUUGCUAGACUUGCCUAGACGUCUAUCCGUGUGAUAAUACGGCAUCAGACGCACUCGGGUGAGCAGUGCGAGGUAGACUGGAAGGGUGAAGCACUCAGAACAUGACUUUAUCUCUUUUCACCAGCCGCUCUCUGCUCCCAUCUAUGGAGGGAGCAGGGGAGGAGAUUGAAAUGCAGUGCAGCGGUGCUGUUGCACAGCUUCUCUCCACUAUACUGCCUAUGUUUUAUGCUUACCCAGCACUCCUUCUGAACACACAAGUGAUAAUGAUACUGAUUAAAGU